CUGGACUAAAGCUAUCCACUUCUGCAGACUCAGUGCGUUUUGCAUACUGCAUAUACAUUACUGUAAGUGUGACACACCCGGCUGCGCGCACACACCCUCCAGGGCCAGGCGCUCUCUUAUUCUCACAGCUCUCUUCAUGCCAGAUCUGAUUUCUUUCUACAGCUGUAAUAUUUCAAUAGUGCUGAGCGCCCUUUCCCCUAAC